rnacentral:rRNA from 1 species
GGAUGAACGCUGGCGGCGUGCCUACUCCAUGCAAGUCGAGCGAACGGACGAGAAGCUUGCUUCUCUGAUGUUAGCGGCGGACGGGUGAGUAACACGUGGAUAACCUACCUAUAAGACUGGGAUAACUUCGGGAAACCGGAGCUAAUACCGGAUAAUAUUUUGAACCGCAUGGUUCAAAAGUGAAAGACGGUCUUGCUGUCACUUAUAGAUGGAUCCGCGCUGCAUUAGCUAGUUGGUAAGGUAACGGCUUACCAAGGCAACGAUGCAUAGCCGACCUGAGAGGGUGAUCGGCCACACUGGAACUGAGACACGGUCCAGACUCCUACGGGAGGCAGCAGUAGGGAAUCUUCCGCAAUGGGCGAAAGCCUGACGGAGCAACGCCGCGUGAGUGAUGAAGGUCUUCGGAUCGUAAAACUCUGUUAUUAGGGAAGAACAUAUGUGUAAGUAACUGUGCACAUCUUGACGGUACCUAAUCAGAAAGCCACGGCUAACUACGUG